rnacentral:RNase_P_RNA from 2 species
GCGGGGAGGUCCACGGUCGCGCCCCUCUCAAGAGGGGUGAGGAAAGUCCGGGCACCGCAGGGCAGGAUGCCAGCUAACGGCUGGUCGGCGAGUCAAGCGCCUGCACGCGCGCCGAGGGCGUGUGGGUGGCGGCGAAGCCGAAGGACAGUGCCACAGAAACCAGACCGCCCACCUCAAACAGUCUUCGGCGCAGACGAGGUGGGUCAGGGUGAAACGGUGCGGUAAGAGCGCACCAGGCCCCCCGGAGACGGAGGGCGUCUGGUAAACCCCAUCCGGUGCAAGACCCGACAGUGCGGUAGGAGCGGCCCGCUCCCGUGACCGCCAGGAUGGUCGCACGAGGCGUGCGGCGACGCGCGUCCCAGAGAGAUGACCGUGACCCCACCCCGGUGGGCCACAGAACCCGGCUUAUCGCCUCCCCGCACCA